UCAACAAGUCAAAUCCAAUUUUACAGUAAAUCGCUCUGAACGGGGUUAUCAGAACACUCUACAGAGAGGAGAUUACAUCUCUGCACAGGAAGAACCUGAUGUCUACCGCUUAUGUUUUCCAUCUGAAACAUGCUAAUUAAUACUAAUUAAUCAACAACAUUAACAACAUCAUGUCUCUGAUUGUCUCCUCUUUGGAUUCUUUGCCUCCCUGCAGAGCGUCCUUUUCAUACCUCCACCCGCCCCUGUUGUUCUGAUCAACACCCCAUGUAUCUCAGUGUAUCUACUCAUUUCCAGCUGCAUUUGAAGUCCUUGAACACAGCAGAGCCAACCAGAGCUUUGUAAGCAGGAUGAAGAAUGUGGAGCCAGAGCCAGAAAAAUUGCUUCAAAAACAAGCGUGGACUAGAUCAACGUAACUGAACAGGUUGUUCGAGUUGAGACACACUGCUGCUGUGCCCACAUCGGUUGUUAUGGUGUAUGGUGGUAUGGCUCAUUAAAGAUGGCAAGUGCAGAGCCUCCACCACUAGUUUUGGCUGACAAAGAAAACAGCAGGAGUUCUGUUUGGAAAUACUUCACAUUUGAGGUGAUCGUUAGCGCGUCCUGGAACACCUGAGGCCCCACAGUGUUUCCAGGUUAUUUAAUCCUGGUUGCAGCAGACAGCUCUGUCUCUCUGACAGCUCUCUUUCCCUUCUCCCUACAGGCACCUGUUUGUUUGGGUUAUGUUGCUUUAGUUCCUUGUUUUUGCUUUCGUGCACCCUACAACACACACACACACACACACACACACACACACACACUGCACUCAAGCUUAUGACACUACUGGUUUCCAUACCCCAUAUUGUAACUAUUUAAUCCUUUAAUUUGGCUUACUUUGUGUAAUAAACUUGUGUGUCUUCCUAUUUGUUGUGGCCAAAGAGCCAAGUCAUAACAAAGUGUGUGUGUGUGUGUGUUCAGUUCUGUUCAUGCACAUAAGGAGCUGCAGUAUGACGAUGUGUGGUCUUUUCAGAUUUACCAAUUUUCUUCUUUUAGCCAGUGCAGAACCACCAUCCCUUUGCUAGUGGUGCUGUCUGGGUCCACACUUCCCACUGGGUUGUCCCAAGUGCUGCAGAUCCGCCACCACUGCAGCGGCGGCUGGUGUGCGGGGGAUGUUCUAUCUCCGUAGCAUCUGCAGGGACUCCGGUAUUUUCCCUGACUCCUCCAUGAACAGCCUCCAUUGGAAGAUCUUGGUCUGGUUCCAGGAGGGAUCUGUUGAAGCCAGAGAUGUCCAGGAUGUUGUAGAAGGGAACCAAGGGCCACCAACAGAUCCUCCUCCUACAGCUAUAGGUGUCGACAAUCAGCAAAAAGAAAAAAAGAAAAAGACCAAAGAAUAAAUGAAUAUCUUAUCCAUGUUGUCGACAGCUCUUUGCAGCGGUUGUAGUCAGUAAUUAUUGUUGGCUGCUGGUGCUUUGCAUUACUCACAGCUGGCUCA